rnacentral:rRNA from 1 species
GGACCUGACUGCUAUCGGAUUGAUACUAAGCCAUGCGAGUCAUUGUAGCAAUACAAGGCAGACGGCUCAGUAACGCGUAGUCAACCUAACCUAUGGACGGGAAUAACCUCGGGAGACUGAGAAUAAUGCCCGAUAGAACACUAUACCUGGAAUGGUUUGUGUUCCAAAUGAUUUAUCGCCGUAGGAUGGGACUGCGGCCUAUCAGUUUGUUGGUGAGGUAAUGGCCCACCAAGACUAUUACAGGUACAGGCUCUGAGAGGAGUAGCCCGGAGAUGGGUACUGAGACACGGACCCAGGCCCUAUGGGGCGCAGCAGGCGAGAAAACUUUGCAAUGUGCGAAAGCACGACAAGGUUAAUCCGAGUGGUUUCUGCUAAAGGAACCUUUUGUCGGUCCUAGAAACACCGAUGAAUAAGGGGUGGGCAAGUUCUGGUGUCAA